rnacentral:tRNA from 1 species
GUGGCCGUAGUUCAGCGGUAGAACACCGGGUUGUGAUCCCGGACGCCGUCGGUUCGAAUCCGACCGGUCACC